rnacentral:rRNA from 1 species
UGAGUAACGCGUGAGUAACCUGCCUUCAAGAGGGGGAUAACAUUCUGAAAAGAAUGCUAAUACCGCAUGACAUAUCGGAACCACAUGGUUUUGAUAUCAAAGAUUUUAUCGCUUGAAGAUGGACUCGCGUCCGAUUAGUUAGUUGGUGAGGUAACGGCUCACCAAGACCGCAAUCGGUAGCCGGACUGAGAGGUUGAACGGCCACAUUGGGACUGAGACACGGCCCAGACUCCUACGGGAGGCAGCAUG